CAAGCCCUUUAGUGCGCGUCGGCAAUAGUAGCUGCUUGUCUGAACUGGAACUCAACCAAGCACAAGUGUCAGACUCCGGGAUUUAUGUCUGUCGGGCAACGAACACUGUAGGGAUGGAUGAGAGGCAUUUUGAUGUCACCGUUCUGGUACCGCCGUCUAUCCACAGAUCAGGACACCACAGGGACGUCGAUGUCGUACGAGGCGAAAAUGUUACGCUGGAAUGUCUUGUUCGAGGGAUUCCUCGCCCAUCUGUUCAGUGGCUCAAGGAGGGACAAUUAAUUUACGGCGUGCAGUACGGCAAUCCUCGCUACGUCUUUAUUUCAGAAGGGCAAACGCUAGUGAUCCACUCUACAACUGCUGCAGAUUCUGGUUCAUUCACGUGCGAGGCUUCAAACAUGAUUGGCUCGGACAGCUUGGAUUAUCGAGUCUUCG